rnacentral:rRNA from 1 species
GUAACGGCGAGUGAAGCGGCAACAGCUCAAAUUUGAAAUCUGGCUCUCGGGCCCGAGUUGUAAUUUGUAGAGGAUACUUUUGAUGCGGUGCCUUCCGAGUUCCCUGGAACGGGACGCCAUAGAGGGUGAGAGCCCCGUCUGGUUGGAUGCCAAAUCUCUGUAAAGUUCCUUCGACGAGUCGAGUAGUUUGGGAAUGCUGCUCUAAAUGGGAGGUAUAUGUCUUCUAAAGCUAAAUAUUGGCCAGAGACCGAUAGCGCACAAGUAGAGUGAUCGAAAGAUGAAAAGCACUUUGAAAAGAGAGUUAAAAAGUACGUGAAAUUGUUGAAAGGGAAGCGUUUAUGACCAGACUUGGACUUGGUUAAUCAUCUGGGGUUCUCCCCAGUGCACUUCUCCAGUUCAGGCCAGCAUCAGUUUUCGCCGGGGGAUAAAGGCAGCGGGAAUGUGGCUCUCUUCGGGGAGUGUUAUAGCCCGUUGUGUAAUACCCUGGUGGGGACUGAGGUUCGCGCUUCUGCAAGGAUGCUGGCGUAAUGGUCAUCAACGACCCGUCUUGAAACACGGACCAAGGAGUCGUCUUCGUAUGCGAGUGUUCGGGUGUCAAACCCCUACGCGUAAUGAAAGUGAACGCAGGUGAGAGCUUCGGCGCAUCAUCGACCGAUCCUGAUGUUCUCGGAUGGAUUUGAGUAAGAGCAUACGGGGCCGGACCCGAAAGAAGGUGAACUAUGCCUGUAUAGGGUGAAGCCAGAGGAAACUCUGGUGGAGGCUCGCAGCGGUUCUGA